UUGGCUGCUAUGUGCUUUGAAUGCAGAGCUCAAAAAGACAACGUGCUCCAACCCAAAGAAGGUGUGACUGUUAGUGAGGGAGAGACAGCAACACUGGACUGUCACUAUAACACCAGUGGCACAAAUACAUGUCUUUUCUGGUACAGACAGGCUGCAGACGACAAGCCCACAUUCAUUCUGAGCCGCAUUACUGCUGAAUUAGGGAACACAGCGGACGGGUUCAAGGAGAGAUUUGAUUCCAGCCUGGAUUCCAGCUCAAGAUCAGUUCCUCUGAAGAUCCAGAGUCUGCAGCUGUCUGACUCUGCUGUGUACUACUGUGCUCUGAGGCCCACAGUGACAGGAAACUGCAGAACCUACUACACAAACCUUUGGAGGGUCUAUCAAGAAUCCAGGGACAACGCAACGAUAAACCAGAUCCACUAG